rnacentral:lncRNA from 1 species
AAACAACCAAUAUAGAAAAAAUAUGCUAAUGAUUAUAAUCCUCCAAAAUUCCUAUGAAAGACCUUUGAAUCAAAGGUGCCCUUAACAUUUGUAGUCAAAUAUGUGGUGAAAAUUUAACCCAAAAUACAAUGGAAACUAAUAAACCUUUGAAUACAAUAAAAAGUAGUAAAAAAUGUUUAGGGAAAAAUCCUAUAGGAUUCAAUCAUAUGAAUCAAACAACCAAUAUAGAAAAAAAAAUGCUAAUGAUUAUAAUCCUCGAAAAUUCCUAUGAAAAACCUUUGAAUCAAAGGUGCCCUUAACAUUUGUAGUCAAAUACGUGGUGAAAGUUUAACCCAAAAUACAAUGGAAACUAAUAAACGCAGACGGAGGUAGUAGUGCUGUUUCAAAAUAUUCUGAAUCAAAGAAUGAGCGGGUUGUGCCUCUCAUCCUUGUAAUUUUCAAAGAGAAAUCGAAUCUAGCGUCUACGGGGAAAGCUUCGCGUCUCCCUCUUUAAAAAGCUCCCCCCGUACGCAGCACCAGUCUCACUCUCACAGAAAGGAAACCAUCGUCCAGGCACGCAGGCGAGCGAUGGCGAGCCUGAGCGUGCCUCCGGUGCUCACGCC